UUGUUUCUCAGUUUUUAUUAACCUAAAACACGCCGCGGAUUUUUAAAGGAGAAAAUAGUUUUUCUCUUAAAACUCUUCAAGCAGCCAUACUAGUCCAGUACAGGAAAACCUUUUAAAAUUAGAAACAAUUUAGAGGAAAAACACAAGAUUUUAUUCAAAAUAGCUAAUGUUUAUGUAACCCUGCUGUGUUUGUAUAUUCUGCUUUUCAGUAUUCUUUUAUUUUAUGGGUAGUGUCCCUUUAAGAGCACUGAACAACAUUACUUUACGGCAGCAUUCCCGCUGCAGUUGCUAGGGGAAUUCCCGGGCUUCAGAGUUUCAGAGCUGCUGCAGAACAGAGACAUGCUAGUCAGCGUGGCUUCUGGAUAUCAUUUGAUUUUUAUGCCUAUAUGAUGUUUUCCUGCUAGUGCAUUGUUGUGAGAGGAACGGUGGGAGGAUGUUCAAGUGCCUGCAGAGGAGGAAGGAGAGACUGCUGAGUUUUUCAUGUUUGUGGACACCGGCUGCCAUCAUCAUUCUGGGUCCCUAUCCCAGUCAGGACAGCUUUUUCCUUAACGUUAGGAGCUUUUCGCCCUGCAGCUGGGAGCUGCGGCGGGAUGGAGCACACAUGACGUCACUCUGCUAUGGAUCCAG